rnacentral:rRNA from 1 species
UGGAGUAAUGCGUAUCCAACCUUCCCACUUACUGUGGGAUAACCUGCCGAAAGGCAGACUAAUACCGCAUAGUCUUCGAUGACGGCAUCAGAUUUGAAGUAAAGAUUUAUCGGUAAUGGAUGGGGAUGCGUCUGAUUAGCUUGUUGGCGGGGUAACGGCCCACCAAGGCGACGAUCAGUAGGGGUUCUGAGAGGAAGGUCCCCCACAUUGGAACUGAGACACGGUCCAAACUCCUACGGGAGGCAGCAGUC